UACGUAGGGUGCAAGCGUUUAAUCGGAAUUACUGGGCGUAAAGCGUGCGCAGGCGGUUUUGUAAGUCUGUCGUGAAAGCCCCGGGCUCAACCUGGGAAUUGCGAUGGAGACUGCAAGGCUUGAAUCUGGCAGAGGGGGGGUAGAAUUCCACGUGUAGCAGUGAAAUGCGUAGAGAUGUGGAGGAACACCGAUGGCGAAGGCAGCCCCCCUGGGUCAAGAUUGACGCUCGAUGCACGAAAGCGUGGGGAGCAAACAGG
rnacentral:rRNA from 1 species